GACGAACGCUGGGGGCGUGCUUAACACAUGCAAGUCGAACGGAAAGGCCCUGCUUUUGUGGGGUGCUCGAGUGGCGAACGGGUGAGUAACACGUGAGUAACCUGCCCUUGACUUUGGGAUAACUUCAGGAAACUGGGGCUAAUACCGGAUAGGAGCUCCUGCUGCAUGGUGGGGGUUGGAAAGUUUCGGCGGUUGGGGAUGGACUCGCGGCUUAUCAGCUUGUUGGUGGGGUAGUGGCUUACCAAGGCUUUGACGGGUAGCCGGCCUGAGAGGGUGACCGGCCACAUUGGGACUGAGAUACGGCCCAGACGCCUACGGGAGGCAGCAGUGGGGAAUAUUGCACAAUGGGCGGAAGCCUGAUGCAGCAACGCCGCGUGCGGGAUGACGGCCUUCGGGUUGUAAACCGCUUUCGCCUGUGACGAAGCGUGAGUGACGGUAAUGGGUAAAGAAGCACCGGCUAACUACGUG
rnacentral:rRNA from 1 species